AUGGAGCACAUGUGGGUUUUCCUCUUGAUGGUGGCAACUCCCUCAGGUGUCCUUUCCCAGGUGCAGCUGCAGGAGGUGGGCCCAGGACUGGUGCAGCCCUCACAGACCCUGUCUCUCACCUGCACAGUCUCUGGAUUCUCUUUAAGCAGCUAUGGUGUGAACUGGGCCCGGCAGGCUCCUGGAAAAGGGCUGGAGUGGGUCGGUGCAAUAUGGAGUGGUGGAAGCAGAAAUUAUAACCCAACAUUGGCAUCCCGAGUAAUCAUCACCGGGGACACCUCCAAGAGCCAAGUUUAUUUAAAGCUGAACUCCGUGACUGACAAAGACAAAGACACCUAUUACUGUGCAAGAUACACACUCAGCAAGGCCGCCUAA